UAACCGCUGUCGCGAGACAGCGCUGAACAUACAGAAGUCAGCAGAGGCCGUAGUAGCUGAACGAUUUUUUUCAGUGAAGGGC
rfam:Lachnoclostridium sp. An14 An14_contig_45, whole genome shotgun sequence.